AGUUGGUGGAGCGAUUUGUCUGGUUAAUUCCGAUAACGAACGAGACUCUAGCCUAUUAAAUAGAAGACGAAUCAUUAUGUUCGCCUACUUCUUAGAGGGACAAGCGGCAUUUAGCCGCACGAGAUUGAGCAAUAACAGGUC
rnacentral:rRNA from 1 species